rnacentral:rRNA from 2 species
UAGGGAAUCUUCGGCAAUGGGGGGAACCCUGACCGAGCAACGCCGCGUGAGUGAAGAAGGUUUUCGGAUCGUAAAGCUCUGUUGUUAAGGAAGAACGAGUGUGAGAAUGGAAAGUUCAUGCUGUGACGGUACUUAACCAGAAAGGGACGGCUAACUACGUGCCAGCAGCCGCGGUAAUACGUAGGUCCCGAGCGUUGUCCGGAUUUAUUGGGCGUAAAGCGAGCGCAGGCGGUUAGAAAAGUCUGAAGUGAAAGGCAGUGGCUCAACCAUUGUAGGCUUUGGAAACUGUUUAACUUGAGUGCAGAAGGGGAGAGUGGAAUUCCAUGUGUAGCUGUGAAAUGCGUAGAUAUAUGGAGGAACACCGGUGGCGAAAGCGGCUCUCUGGUCUGUAACUGACGCUGAGGCUCGAAAGCGUGGGGAGCGAACAGG